UUGCACGCUGGCGGAAUGCUUUACCCCUGCCAGUCGAGCGGCAGCACGGGGGCAACCCUGGUGGCGAGCGGCGAACGGGUGAGUAAUACAUCGGAACAUGCCCAGUCGUGGGGGAUAACACUUCGAAAGAAGUGCUAAUACCGCAUACGUCCUGAGGGGGAAAGCGGGGGAUCGCAAGACCUCGCGCGAUUGGAGUGGCCGAUGUCAGAUUAGCUAGUUGGUGGGGUAAAGGCCUACCAAGGCAACGAUCUGUAGCUGGUCUGAGAGGAUGAUCAGCCACACUGGGACUGAGACACGGCCCAGACUCCUACGGGAGGCAGCAGUGGGGAAUUUUGGACAACGGGGGCAACCCUGAUCCAGCCAUUCCGCGUGAGUGAAGAAGGCCUUCGGGUUGUAAAGCUCUUUCGGCAGGAACGAAACGGUGAGCUCUAACAUAGCUUGCUAAUGACGGUACCUGAAGAAGAAGCACCGGCUAACUACGUG
rnacentral:rRNA from 1 species